UGAAUACGAGAUGCUACGGCAUUGAAGCAGUGUAUGUCAGACUUCCAAGAAAAGCUCGCAAUGUCAUAAACAAUAAAUGCCUGUACCAUAACCGACACAGUGGGUAGGUAGAGUAUACUAAGGGGCGCGAGAUAACUCUCUCUAAGGAACUCGGCAAAAUGACUCCGUAACUUCGGGAGAAGGAGUGCCUUAUUUUAUAAGGUUGCAAUAACAAGAUCCAAGCAACUGUUUACAAAAACACAGGUCUCCGCUAAGUCGAAAGACGAUGUAUGGGGGCUGACGCCUGCCCAGUGCCAGAAGGUUAAAGAAGUUGGUUAGCUUCGGCGAAGCUGAUGACUGAAGCCCUGGUGAACGGCGGCCGUAACUAUAACGGUCCUAAGGUAGCGAAAUUCCUUGUCGGGUAAGUUCCGACCCGCACGAAAGGCGUAAUGAUUUGGAUACUGUCUCGGAGAGGGGCUCGGUGAAAUAGACUUGUCUGUGAAGAUGCGGACUACCCGCACCUGGACAGAAAGACCCUAUGAAGCUUUACUGUAACUUGAGAUUGAAAUUGGACUUUAUUUGCGCAGUAUAGGUGGGAGACGUUGAGAAUAUUCUUGCGGGAAUAUUGGAGUCAUCAGUGAGAUACCACUCUUGUAAUGUUAGAUUUCUAACUUUGUAUCAUUAUCUGGUCAAAGGACAGUUUCAGGCGGGCAGUUUGACUGGGGCGGUCGCCUCCUAAACGGUAACGGAGGCGCACAAAGGUUUCCUCUGAACGUGUAGAAAUCGUAUCUAGAGUGUAAAGGCAUAAGGAAGCUUGACUGUGAGACCUACAAGUCGAGCAGGGACGAAAGUCGGUCUUAGUGAUCUGACGGUGCUGAGUGGAAAGGCCGUCACUCAACGGAUAAAAGUUACUCUAAGGAUAACAGGCUGAUCUCCCCCAAGAGUUCACAUCGACGGGGAGGUUUGGCACCUCGAUGUCGGCUCAUCGCAUCCUGGGGCGGUAGUACGUCCCAAGGGUUGGGCUGUUCGCCCAUGAAAGCGGUACGCGAGCUGGGUUCAGAACGUCGUGAGACAGUUCGGUCCAUAUCCGGUGUAGGCGUUAGAAUAUUGAGAGGAGCCUUCUUUAGUACGAGAGGACCGAGAAGGACAUACCUCUGGUGUACCAGUUAUCGUGCCAACGGUAAACGCUGGGUAGCUAUGUAUGGAGUGGAUAGCCGCUGAAAGCAUCUAAGUGGGAAGCCCACCUCAAGAUAAG
rnacentral:rRNA from 1 species